rfam:Eimeria praecox, Houghton, WGS project CBTT01000000 data, contig: Eph_contig3341_2
CGGCNGAUAGUUCAGUUGGAUAGAAUGCCCGGCUACGGACCGGGUGGUCGUGGGUUCGAAUCCUGCUCGGCCUA